UCUAAACUUCUUAAUACCCUGGAGGCACCCGAUCCUGUUUGAUCUUGGAAGAUAAGCAGGGUCAGGCCUGGUUCAUAGAUAGAAACGAGACCACUGAGGAAUACUUGCUGCUAUAGGCUAUAUUCAGAG
rnacentral:rRNA from 11 species